GUCCCAGUCGGGGAUGACAGAGCAAUCACUCUUCCCCAGCUCGGCCUUCUUUUCUGUUUUCCUCUUUUUUCUUUUUCUUUUUUAGCUCUGCGUCUUUACGGAUGAUUAUCCCGGUCAGUUUCAGGCAGAUUUAUUAGUGACACCGAGUCUGCUGGUCAGCUUCAGGCAACUGGCCAACACUGGAAUUGCCUUUCCUUGUUGUUUUUUUGCUGCGUCGUGCCCUAAAGAGCCACAAGAGAGACUUUCUUCACUGGUUGUUAGAAGACGAGCGAGCGAGCAAGCAAGCAAGCAUCCCAAAGAUCCAGCCGACCUGACAGAAUGAGGGAGACGAUUUGUAAGAGCUGGACUCAAAAUGACGAAGGCCACCGAUCACCUUUUGGUCCUGUAGUUGGAGCCAGGAAUGGAUAGAAGACCAAGAUCUAAGGAUGUGAGUGGGAGUGGAGUUGGGUUGGGAACGAGGUCAUGUAAUGCUCUGGAGGUAAUCAACAGGAUCUUGUACUGUAUGCUGAAUCCCAACGGAAGACUAAGGAGUGAUGCAAGAAGUCUGCUGGUCAGCUACAGGCAACGGGCCAACACUACAACUACCUCUCUCUUCUUCUUCUUCUUCGGUUUUAUUUGUGUUGUGCCGUAAAGAGCCACAACAGAGCUUCUCUUCCCUGGUAGUCUGGAGAUGAGAGGAGAUCCCAUGAAGGGCUCCUUCACUGAGCCAGUCUGUAGACCGCUCACUGGAAAUCCCGUCCGAAUCAACAUCCUGUCCCCGGCCUCUAGGAAGUGACCUCAGCUUCAGAUAAAGCCUCCGCAUCAAAAACAUCAGGCCAGCCUUAAUAAUGAGCUCUGCG